CGCCGCCUACGCAGAAAGGUGUUCUCUGCAAAAGGUGUUCAGCGCCUUUUCUUUGCAACACAAAAAGAGAAUUCUACUUUGUGAGGGUUAUAAUCCCUAAGUGCGGCCGGAGGCCGCCUAU